AGAUCCGAUCUUCGAACGACUCUCGGCAACGGAUAUCUCGGCUCUCGCAUCGAUGAAGAACGUAGCGAAAUGCGAUACUUGGUGUGAAUUGCAGAAUCCCGUGAACCAUCGAGUUUUUGAACGCAAGUUGCGCCCCAAGCCUUCGGGCCGAGGGCACGCUUG
rnacentral:rRNA from 3 species